GUCUUGCAACAUCAGCUGAUAUCCCCCACCCCUUCUCCCCUCGUGUUUCCCUCUGCUUCAUAAAUGGUUGGGAGGCUCCUAGGAAUCUUUUACUCUGCUUCAAGCAAUAAGACGUGUGUGGCUCCUCAACCCAGCUGCUACUGCUGCAGCACACCCAGCCUCUCAGCAGCUGAGGAAGCGCUGAUUUGCCUAAGGGCAUCACUUUAAGUUGGGUGUGUAGGCAGCAACCCAGACCCCUUGUGUGGGUGGCACUCCCAAAUAAGAACAAAUUACAGUUAUGCUUCCUGGUAGCAGAGGAGGAAAGGAAAUAGCUACCGAUGAAGAAAUAAAAUGACUAACAAACUACAGUAUCUUUUUUGUCACAGCUCAGGACCUUUUUGCUGAGAGAAGCUGCUCAGAAGAGAACCUCAUUUACUUAGAAGUAGGUUGGCCAAUAAUUUGUUGCAACAUGUUCUUAAGCACUUGAUCCCUGUCACUUUGCUCUUUUCUUUGGGGCCUAAUAGGAGAAACAGUAUAAAUCAUGGUACAAUAAUGCAGUUUAGCUGUGUAUGUCUCCCAGCUAUUGACAAACUAGAAGACAGAAAAAGCAGUUUAUAAGUGAAGGCAGGAUUUGUUUUCACAUUUUUGUAUCAGUAAGUAACUUACUGUGUAUUAUUGUGUUUUCAUCUGUGACAGCCACAGAAGUAAUAUAAUUUCUAAGUGAAAUUAGCUCUAAGUGAAACUAUAUCUGAGGUGACAGGUUAAAAUCGGAAUUUCCGCCUUCUCCAAAAAAACAUGAAAAUGCCCUGAUUAAAAUACACAUGAGAAAAUUCUUAAUACAGAUACAU